GGGCAUUGGACUCAGACAUUGCAAGAUUUAUGACGGCGGUCAUAUUCAAUCUAUUACUCCACCUUGGGAUCUUCCUCUGGUCCUUAAAGCUCUUAAAACAGAUCCUUUUCAAUCAUAUUUGUCUGAGUAUUCUUUCCCUCCCUUGGUUUUAGCUUGGGUAUUACCCAUUGUUGUGCUGCCAUACUUACCGUAAUUUUCUUUUCCUGGUCAUAGGCCAUGGCAGCACAAGGAU